rnacentral:rRNA from 1 species
AUUGAACGCUGGCGGCAUGCCUUACACAUGCAAGUCGAACGGCAGCACGGGAGCAAUCCUGGUGGCGAGUGGCGAACGGGUGAGUAAUAUAUCGGAACGUGCCCAGUCGUGGGGGAUAACGCAGCGAAAGCUGUGCUAAUACCGCAUACGAUCUAAGGAUGAAAGCGGGGGAUCGCAAGACCUCGCGCGAUUGGAGCGGCCGAUAUCAGAUUAGCUAGUUGGUGGGGUAAAGGCCCACCAAGGCGACGAACUGUAGCUGGUCUGAGAGGACGACCAGCCACACUGGAACGGAGACACGGGCCAGACUCCUACGGGAGGCAGCAGUGGGGAAUUGUGGACAAUGGGCGCAAGCCUGAUCCAGCAAUGCCGCGUGCAGGAUGAAGGCCUUCGGGUUGUAAACUGCUUUUGUACGGAACGAAACGGCCCUUUCUAAUACAGGGGGCUAAUGACGGUACCGUAAGAAUAAGCACCGGCUAACUACGUGCCAGCCGCCGCCGUAA